GCCACGUGUCUGCCUCUGUGUGUAUGUGUGUGUGCCACGCGCGCCAACGGUGAAAAGUCUGUGGUGUGUGCCAUACCUGCAUGUACACAUAGGGAAAGGAUGAUGUGUGCACACCUGUGUAUAUCCAUAGUCUCGCUAUACAGACACGUGUGUAUUCAUGGAGUAUGAGUCGUGUGUGUGCAUGCCUGGACGUAUAUAUAGAAGAGAACCCUCUGUGCAUACAAAUAUGGAUACCUAUGUUUAAUGCCUGCACACUGAAAAGAAUAGGGAGUGUUCGCUGGAGACCCUGCCCUGUCUUGGAGGAGGACCUCUGUGAGUUAAGAACAAAGCCGUUCUUAUGGACAAGGUGAGCAUGACCUGUAGCAGCUGGUUGGAUCCAGUGAUCAUUUACCAAUCUAGUUUUC
rnacentral:lncRNA from 1 species